UGAAAUACUACUUUGGAAUAUUUUCUCAACAUCAGGGUUCAAGUUUGUUAUUUCUACUGAGACAUCAGGUCAGAAGAAAAGAACAAUAGUGAGAAGGCAUUCAUGGCUUUGCAUUAUCAGAAAGUUAUCCUGCUGUUUCAACUGUGUAUGAUUGAGCAUAUUGUCAUUGAUGAAGAAUUUUUAUUUAUUUUUGAUCAAAGACUUCACCAUGUUUUCCUGACCUUUUCAAUCUCCUGGAUGCAGAGGUUUAACGUGAGCUCUCCUAGGUACUGGGAGAAACUCUGAUAAUGACCCCUGAGAAUGAGCUCAGUGGUGAGAAGUCCAAGGACAGGAUGAGGUCGACAUUGCACGUGUUUUUGGAAUAAGAAUCAACACACUUAAAAGACUGGGAUUUGGAAGUGAGAAGGAGUAUAUGGAAGUGAUUCAGGAAAACAAGGAAAUGAGACACAAGUGACAAAAUUUGUCAAAGUUCUAUGCAUUUGUUCCUUUGGAUUCAAGUGAAACAUCUGUAGUCAAUUCUUAACCCAAUGCUGGUUUGUUCUUACCAACUUCCUUGCCCUGCUAUUGAGGGAAAAAAGACAGAGAGCUCUCACCAGAAACAAGGAACAGAGGAGGUAAAUUUCCAAAGGAUCUGGUAGAAGAAUUAGUCUUACUGUGUUCCUCAUGAGAAAAGUAUUCUGUUGGAGGACAUAUAAUAAAACAGCAGUCACAAGAUGUGAUUUAGUCACAGCUCUGAAAACUCUGGAAGACCAUGGGGAAGUUCCCUAACCUCCUUGGGUAUUUCAUCUGAGCUGUUGGAGUUGCAUUACCUAAUCUCUGUGGUUCCUUGAAGCUGCCACAUUCAGUGAUUCUAUCUGUCUUCAAUGAUAGAUACAACAAGGAGCAACCUAAGCUGAAAGUGGCCUGAAAUGUGCAUCUGAAAAGAGAAAUUUUGGUUCCCAGGCAUAGGAGUGUGUUCACAGAAAAAGAAGCUAGCUAAAGAAUGUCUUUGGGUGUUCUGGACAGGCUUGGAAUCCACAGAAGUAUUUAUUUCAAGAGGAUAUCCAUACUGAUUUUUCACUGAAGGUCAAAGAGAGUUCUAGAUAAACUGCCUGAGGCCUGGCAGUAAAAAAAGAAGGAAAUGUAGUCCUUUGAAACUCUGUCCCUCAUGAGAACAUGGACUACUUUAUCCCUGAGUGAGAGAUGAGCCGUUGGACCAGUAACAACACUUCUAGGCUUCAUUCUUCAAGGGGAGGUGACAUAUGGUAAAUACUAAGACAGAUUACAACAAGAUUCUUCUGUUACUCCUGCUUGUCAUCCUUGAAGGAGUGCUCCAUGAAGACUGCAGUGUCUUCCCUCUCACAGGCAGCGUGCUCCUCCAGCAGCUCCUGCAGCAUGUCUGUGGGGAAGCUCACUCGCUGGGCCAUCUAUUCGCUGUAGUGGUUGUCUGCCUUCUGAAUGGCAGCUGAGUUCUCCAGAUGGGCCAGAGUUGUCACUGCGUUCUCCAAGUGAGGUACUGCUCCGCUAUUGAUAGUAUCCAUGUAGGUCACAACCAGAGUCCUCAGCCCUGAAGAAGCCAGGAAAUUUAGGGGCUAAAUAUCAAGUUAUCAGUCAAUGGCUCCAGGAUUCUGAGACUAUGCUUCUAGGGUCAUAUACUAUACAUGCACACACACAAACACACACAUGCACCCCUACCUCCUUCUACCAUUAUCACCUUCAUUUUCCUACUGACUCUUCAUUUUUAUGGUUUUCCAGGUCAUAGGACUGAAAAAGUUAAUAUCUACUUCUAUCUAACAUACUAGGGGCUACCUGGAAAAUACAGUUUCUCAAUUUAAAAAUUGAAAGCAAUAUAGAUUACAUAGAUAGACAGAUGAGGCAAGGUGUACCAUGUUUAAUGUAUUCCUAAUUCUGAGGCUUUGAAUGGAUU